CAAAGGAAAACACCAACACUAUGAAGCUACUUUAUUUAUUUAUUAUUAUUAUUUUUUUUGAGAUGGAAUUUCGGUCUUGCUGCCCAGGCGGGAGAAACUAUUUUAAAAUAGCAUUUUGGUUUCUAGUCUUUUUCUUGUAUAGCUGUAAUGUGGUGUGAGUCAUUUCUGGUCUGUUGUUGCUUUUAAGAAACUUUUUGAUCACUUUGUAUAUUUUUAUAGAAAUCUCUAGAAGAAAAGAUUGGAUGCUUGCUGAAAUUUUCGGGUGAUUUAGAUGAUCAGACCUGUAGAGAAGAUUUACACAUACUUUUCUCAAAUCAUGGUGAAAUAAAAUGGAUAGACUUCGUCAGAGGAGCAAAAGAGGGGAUAAUUCUAUUUAAAGAAAAAGCCAAGG
rnacentral:sRNA from 1 species